UGUGAGUCGCGAACGGGUGAGUAACGCGUAGGUAACCUACCUUUUAGCGGGGGAUAACUAUUGGAAACGAUAGCUAAUACCGCAUAAG
rnacentral:rRNA from 1 species